rnacentral:rRNA from 1 species
ACCCGCACAAGCGGUGGAUGAUGUGGUUUAAUUCGAUGCAACGCGAAAACCUUACCCACCUUUGACAUGUACGGAAUCCUUUAGAGAUAGAGGAGUGCUCGAAAGAGAGCCGUAACACAGGUGCUGCAUGGCUGUCGUCAGCUCGUGUCGUGAGAUGUUGGGUUAAGUCCCGCAACGAGCGCAACCCUUGCCAUUAGUUGCUACGAAAGGGCACUCUAAUGGGACUGCCGGUGACAAACCGGAGGAAGGUGGGGAUGACGUCAAGUCCUCAUGGCCCUUAUAGGUGGGGCUACACACGUCAUACAAUGGCUGGUACAGAGGGUUGCCAACCCGCGAGGGGGAGCCAAUCCCAUAAAGCCAGUCGUAGUCCGGAUCGCAGUCUGCAACUCGACUGCGUGAAGUCGGAAUCGCUAGUAAUCGCGGAUCAGAAUGUCGCGGUGAAUACGUUCCCGGGUCUU